rnacentral:rRNA from 1 species
CUACGAGCGGCUGCAGUGGGGAAUAUUGCACAAUGGGCGCAAGCCUGAUGCAGCCAUGCCGCGUGUGUGAAGAAGGCCUUCGGGUUGUAAAGCACUUUCAGUCGUGAGGAAGGUGGUAGUGUUAAUAGCACUAUCAUUUGACGUUAGCGACAGAAGAAGCACCGGCUAACUCCGUGCCAGCAGCCGCGGUAAUACGGAUGGUGCGAGCGUUAAUCGGAAUUACUGGGCGUAAAGCGCAUGCAGGUGGUUUGUUAAGUCAGAUGUGAAAGCCCGGGGCUCAACCUCGGAAUAGCAUUUGAAACUGGCAGACUAGAGUACUGUAGAGGGGGGUAGAAUUUCAGGUGUAGCGGUGAAAUGCGUAGAGAUCUGAAGGAAUACCGGUGGCGAAGGCGGCCCCCUGGACAGAUACUGACACUCAGAUGCGAAAGCGUGGGGAGCAAACAGGAUUAGAUACCCGAGUAGUC